rnacentral:rRNA from 1 species
AUUGAACGCUGGCGGCGUGCUUAACACAUGCAAGUCGUGCGGUAACAGGCGUAGCAAUACGUGCUGACGAGCGGCGAACGGGUGCGUAAUACAUGGGAAUCUGCCCUUUAGUGGGGAAUAACCCGGCGAAAGCCGGGCUAAUGCCGCAUAAGAUCUUCGGAUGAAAGCGGGGGAUCGUAAGACCUCGCGCUGAUGGAUGAGCCCAUGUCGGAUUAGCAGUUGGUGAGGUAACGGCUCACCAAGGCGACGAUCCGUAGCUGGUCUGAGAGGACGGCCAGCCACACUGGGACUGAGACACGGCCCAGACUCCUACGGGAGGCAGCAGUGGGGAAUAUUGGACAAUGGGGGAAACCCUGAUCCAGCGACGCCGCGUGUGUGAAGAAGGCCUGCGGGUUGU